AGCAUAAAACAAUUAUUCGUGCCUCUCUCGGUCUCUUUUGGCAACUGUGGCUGUUGUCGCCAAACUGCUAGUAACAACAACAUUUUCAUAGCCUCCCAAUGGCCAAAGGUGUAAAGACAGCUGCAAGCACGGCAGCAACACGAAGCAAAUGCGCAACGUUCAUUCUGUGUAUAUAUUUAAUGUGCCUUAACUAAAAGAGCAAAGGAAAAGGUGAAGAAGGCAAAGGUCAAUAUUGAAAAUUGAUAAACAGGCAGCAGCGCCGGAAAGCGGCAACAACACCGCAAACGAUCUAUGGCUAUCAACAUGCUGUCCGCGACGGCCAACAUUGAGAAAUAAAUUCAUCAGCGGCAACUGAAUAGCUUGCAGGCCAAAUUAGAGCAUUAUAAAUAGAGACGUCUAUUUUUAAAAAGCUCUCAGCGAAUCGCUCAAUGGCAGUGUGAAGGCUAAAUAACCUUACGACACAAGAUACGGGGCCAGCUAAAUGGGACGAAUUCUAUUUAUAACGUGAGCGGCGUUAUAUGUGAAGGGAUAUUCAAAUGUGUAAGCUAAAUAUAUCUUAAUUGAAAAUGCCCAAGUAUGAAUUAGAUACACAUAUAUAUACUUAGCCCAAGUACUCAGUGUUGAUAUCCAAUAAAUAUUUGAAAGCGCACUUUUCUAUUGACUGACAAAAUAAAUUCGUGAUGUACAGCAGGCCUUCAAAUGUUGGCUAAGCACAGUAUCAUGUUUUUACUAUUCGCUUCGUAAUUAUACUUCCGAGUGAUAUGUAUGCAUAAGUUUUCAAACAUCUGAUAUAUAAAUUAUUUACUUGCUUACACAUUUUCUCACGCAUCUAU